UUUCUUAAAGGGAAAAAAAUGUAGGCUUUGGAGUAGAAAGGACCUAAAGUGGAAUGUAGUUUCUAUUUGGUGGCUAUGUGACAGUGUAGUAGAUGUAAUCAUCUUGAACCUACAGUGACCAUUACCAGUCACAUCAGACUAGAGUGUACUUUAGCCAGUGUUGAGGUGGCUUAAUACUAGCACUCUGGAAGCAGGGCAGGAGGAUCUCUGAGAGUUCAAAGCUAGCCUGAUUUACAUAAUGAAUUCUAGGCUACCCAAGGCUAUAUAGUGUCUCAACAAACAAAAACUCCAACAAAUGUCAAAACCCACAGAAGUGUUGUAAUGAGAGAUUCUUGAAUUCUCUCCUCUUUCAUAUUUUUAUUUAUGUAUGUGUGAAUCUCUCUCUCUAGGUUUAUUCUGUGCAAGAUUGCACUUACCUGCAGAGGCCAGAGGUGUUAGAUCCCCUGUAGCUACAGGCGCUGGAGUUACAGGCCUUUGUGAGCUGUUGGAUGUGGGUGCUGGGAGUCGACCUUUUGUGCUCUUAACCACUGAAGCAGACCCUCAAAUUCUUUAUUCACAUCCAGAUUGCUGGCUUUUGCUUAUUAUCUGGCAUUGCUCUUUAGUGCUCGUAUUCAUUAUUUCCUAGUCACUGUGACUAGAUGCUAGACCAGAAGUAACUUAAAGGCAGAAACAUUCCUUUUGCCUCAAAGCUGAGGAAUGCAGCUCGUUACAUGGCAGUGGGAGCAACUUGGACUGUAGUGCUGAGGAAGCAGAAAGGAAUCCUAGUGCAUGGCUGGUUUGUUUCCCUUUUUAUUUAGCCCUUGAGCCUAGUCCAAUGGAUGAUGCUCCCCAACCAUAGGUGGGUAUCUUUCUCAGUUAAAUGUUUCUGAAAACACCCUGGACAGACAUACCUGACAUGCCUUGCAGUUGUAGAGGAAGCCCUGAGCGAGUGAGUGUUGUUGACAUGGGCCCAGUCUUGCCAAGGACUCUGAGUAGACCCAUGGGAAAUCGGCAAACCUGUUCCCAUGCGGUUCAGGCUCAGAAAAGCAAAGUUUGACUGUUUACUGAUAAGUGAUCAGGGUGUAUGAAAGCUAGCAACUACAUGGUUACAGCUGGAGACUGCUUGCCAACAGAGACCCCCCCCCCCGACCCCCCAAAACUAGCCAACUCCUCCUCAUAUGCUGUAAAUGAAUUCCUGAGGUUCUGGAUUCUAGAGGUAGUAGCUACCAUUCCAUCAGCCUGUGUACACCACUCUCUACCUGAGCCCAUCUUUUCUGUACAUGGGUCUGGAUAUAUAUUCUUCAUUCUCUCACUGACCCUAGUCAAGGUUUCUGGACCUAAGCCAUGCAGGAUGACACAGUGCCUUAUUAGUGAGCUAGGUAUUUAUUAAUUUAAUCAAGUUGGCAGUUGAAAUUCACCAUCAUAAGUCUGCGUCCUUGUCAACUUGCCCAAACACAUCUUUUUUGUUUGUUUGUUUUUUUGUUUUUUUUUGAGACAGGGUUUCUCUGUAUAGCCCUGGCUGUCCUGGAACUCACUCUGUAGACCAGGCUGGCCUCAAACUCAAAAAAUCUACCUGCCUCUGCCUCCCAAGUGCUGGGAUUAAAGGCAUGUGUCACCCCUGCCCGGCUCAAACACAUCUUUUUAGUUUUAAUAUUCUACCUCCACCCCCUAUAGGCUAAUGGCUGCUUCAUAGUGCAAAAUAUAUUCAUUCCAAUUUCAGAAGUCCUCAGAGUCUUAACAGUUUCAAUGCUAUUCAAAAUAGCUAAGAUCUCUUUUGAGACUCAAGGCAAUCUCUUAACUACAGGUCUCUCAACUCAUAAAAUUGAC
ensembl:sense_intronic Gm43463 predicted gene 43463